rnacentral:rRNA from 1 species
AUUGAACGCUGGCGGCAGGCUUAACACAUGCAAGUCGAGCGAGCGGCGGACGGGUGAGUAAUGUCUGGGAAACUGCCUGAUGGAGGGGGAUAACUACUGGAAACGGUAGCUAAUACCGCAUACCAUCAGAUGUGCCCAGAUGGGAUUAGCUAGUAGGUGGGGUAAUGGCUCACCUAGGCGACGAUCCCUAGCUGGUCUGAGAGGAUGACCAGCAACACUGGAACUGGGCCACGGUCCGGCCUCCUACGGGGGGCAGCAGUGGGAAAAUUGGCACAAUGGCGGCAGGCCUGAUGCAGCCAUGCCGCUUUUAUGAAGAGGGCCUUCGGUUUGUAAGGUCCUUUCUGCGGGAAGGCGUUCCCGCAGAAGAAGCACCGGCUAACUCCGUGCCAGCAGCCGCGGUAAUAC